GGGCCCGCACAAGCGGUGGAGUAUGUGGUUUAAUUCGAUGCAACGCGAAGAACCUUACCAGGGUUUGACAUCCUGCGAAUCUCUUGGAAACAGGAGAGUGCCUUCGGGAACGCAGUGACAGGUGGUGCAUGGCUGUCGUCAGCUCGUGUCGUGAGAUGUUGGGUUAAGUCGCUUAACGAGCGAAACCCUUGUCUCUAGUUGCCAGCGCGUAAUGGCGGGGACUCUAGAGAGACCGCCGGCGUUAAGCCGGAGGAAGGUGGGGAUGACGUCAAGUCCUCAUGGCCCUUAUGACUAGGGCUGCACACGUCCUACAAUGGAACGCACAAAGGGAUGCGAAACCGCGAGGUCAAGCAAAUCCCAAAAAUCGUUCCCUAGUUCGGAUUGCAGGCUGCAACUCGCCUGCAUGAAGCUGGAAUCGCUAGUAAUCGC
rnacentral:rRNA from 1 species